rnacentral:rRNA from 1 species
CGAGCACUCUAGACGAACUGCCGUUGACAAAACGGAGGAAGGUGGGAUGACGUCAAAUCAUCAUGCCCCUUAUGUUCUGGGCUACACACGUGCUACAAUGGCCGGUACAGACGGAGGCGAAGCCGCGAGGCGGAGCAAAUCCGAAAAAGCCCGGUCUCAGUUCGGAUUGCAGGCUGCAAUUCGCCUGCAUGAAGUCGGAAUCGCUAGUAAUCGCAGGUCAGCAUACUGCGGUGAAUACGUUCCCGGGCCUU